rnacentral:rRNA from 1 species
UACGGAGGGUGCAAGCGUUAUUCGGAAUUAUUGGGCGUAAAGGGUGCGUAGGCUGCCCGUUAAGUCAGAUGUGAAAGCCCAGGGCUUAACCCUGGAACUGCAUUUGAUACUGGCGGGCUUGAGUAUGGGAGAGGAAAGCGGAAUUCCUGGUGUAGCGGUGAAAUGCGUAGAUAUCAGGAGGAACACCGGUGGCGAAGGCGGCUUUCUGGACCAAUACUGACGCUGAUGCACGAAGGCGUGGGGAGCAAACAGG